UUCAAGAACUUUAAGAUCACACUAUCCAUGGAAUCGGAAAAUGGAACUGUCAAGAGCAUGUGCCCAGGCACAAGCCGGAAUAUAGUCAGUGUGCCACCAGAGCUCGUCUGGAGCAUAUCUCGUCCUGGACCUUAAAUUAAAAUUUAUUCAAAAUUUUUCGUAAAGCGACGGAAUUUCUUUGGUAUAUUUAGACGUGGUACAAUGGGAACAAUAACGUUAACAUCACACACGGCGAUUGCUUUCUUCAGCGACGAGAAAGCAAGGGCCUUUGGCUUUCAACCCAACUCCACCUAGGUAAUUCACAACUGACUUGGGACUCGUUAAGCACCCUGCGCGGACUCUUUUCCCCAAGGGUCAGUUCCGAUGACACACGCCUGACCAGCUGCGCCCACAGCUGAAGGCCUGGGGAGAUCCGAUGGUACCGGUCCCGCUGGACGAGCAGUUUGCAUCGGAUUUCUCAUAAAAACAAAAAAGUACUGUAUAACACGUAAAUGCUUAUGUGUAUCCAAAAUAAAUGGCGUUAUCUGUGAAA